rnacentral:rRNA from 1 species
UGGGGAAUAUUGGGCAAUGGGCGCAAGCCUGACCCAGCGACGCCGCGUGGGUGAUGAAGGCCUUCGGGUCGUAAAGCCCUGUCGGGUGGAAAGAACGAGAGGGGUGCGAAUAGCGCUUCUCUGUGACGGUACCACCGAAGGAAGCACCGGCCAAUUCCGUGCCAGCAGCCGCGGUAAGACGGAAGGUGCAAGCGUUGCUCGGAAUCACUGGGCGUAAAGGGUGCGUAGGCGGCUUGGUAAGUUGGGUGUGAAAGCCCCGGGCUCAGCCCGGGAAGGGCAUUCGAAACUGCCGAGCUGGAGUGCCGGAGGGGAGAGUGGAAUUCCUGGUGUAGCGGUGAAAUGCGUAGAUAUCAGGAGGAAUACCGGUGGCGAAAGCGACUCUCUGGACGGCAACUGACGCUGAGGCACGAAAGCGUGGGGAGCAAACAG